rnacentral:siRNA from 1 species
AUAUACCACUUAAGAUCCUACUCAA